rnacentral:rRNA from 1 species
UGAGAGGAGAAUCCCCCACACUGGUACUGAGCCAGGUCCCAACUCUCAACGGGAGGCAGCAGUAAGGAAUAUUGGUCAAUGGGCGGAAGCCUGAACCAGCCAUGCCGCGUGCAGGAUGACUGCCCUAUGGGUUGUAAACUGCUUUUGUCCAGGAAUAAACCUAAAUACGUGUAUUUAGCUGAAUGUACUGGAAGAAUAAGGAUCGGCUAACUCCGUGCCAGCAGCCGCGGUAAUACGGAGGAUCCGAGCGUUAUCCGGAUUUAUUGGGUUUAAAGGGUGCGUAGGCGGCCUAUUAAGUCAGGGGUGAAAUACGGUGGCUCAACCAUCGCAGUGCCUUUGAUACUGAUGGGCUUGAAUCCAUUUGAAGUGGGCGGAAUAAGACAAGUAGCGGUGAAAUGCAUAGAUAUGUCUUAGAACUCCGAUUGCGAAGGCAGCUCACUAAGCUGGUAUUGACGCUGAUGCACGAAAGCGUGGGGAUCGAACAGGAUUAGAUACCCUGGUAGUCCACGC